GAAAUGGUAAUAAGAUGCCAUGUCCCCCUCAUUCUAAAAAGUAUGUGAGGAAAUGGAAACUCAGAUCCUUCUCCCAGGCUUGGUAAGAAGUAACUACACUGACUUUGCUAUGCAUAACCAUCAGUCCAGCACCUACCUAACCUUACAUUCAUACAUGAUGAGCUGAAGAGUGAUGCAAAGAAUAUAAUGCCAGUUCCUUUGACUGAGAAAUGUUGGUGUCCAAGAAAACAAGGAAAAGAAUUAGGACACAGAUACACACAGAGAAGAAAGAAUGUGUAAAGACUUGGGGAGAUGACAGCAAUCUACAAACCAAGAACAGAGGUCUCAGAAGAAACCAACCCUCGUGAAUACCUUGAUCAUAGAUCUCCAGCCUCUAGUAAGAAAAUAAAUUUCUGUUGUUUAAAGCCAUUCAGUGUGGGGUGCUUUGUUGGGCAGCCCUAGGAAACUAAUAUAUCUCCUGAGUGGAACAAAAUUGAGAAAAGACAGAUUUUUCACAACUGCUUCAGGUUGCUUCUGGAAAUAUCACAGAGGCAUUGAAAUCUAAAGCCCAUGUAGUCAACAUUUGGAUUUGGUUCUUUGGUGGCAGUAGGUACUUUUCAGGGUCCUAAUGGAAAUCUGUGUAUACAGGAACCUGCAGUGAACACAUGUAUAAGGAAGUUAUUCAAGUCACAUGACUAAAGGCGAUUCUGCCUCUUGUUGAUAUCAUGAUGUAAGAACUUUAGUGAUAGAAAUGGCCAUAGAUUUCAAAUAGAACCAUGAAUUUUAUUGACUACAUUCUCAAAGAUGUGAUUCUUUCCACAAGAUACCAUUGGACCUUAUUAAAGAAUGAUGCCCUAAAUAAAGUUAGUCAUAAUAAGAUAUCAAUUGCUUAUCUCCAUCAACUGAAAGCCAUCUGUCCCCAUGUACAAACUAAAAAAGAGUGACCUUGUUUACCAGGCGGCCCGAGACCCAGGCUGAUUACUUUGAGAGUUAGCAAGCUUCUGAUAUGGCACAUGGAUUCAUGGAUUCUCUCCAGUAUGUUUCCCACCAGCUUCCUUUGAGUUGGAGGGAUGAUCUAGCUGACAGGUUUGUUGGUAACACAAAGGCUUAACUGUGUUUGGUAACUUGAUACUCCUUGAGAACUGAGACAGUAUAGGACAGAGAAACAUCAGAGAUGCUGUGUGUCCUGGAUGGCACAGUGGUGUCAGGAGAACCUGCUGACUUAUCACUACCCCACUCUGAGAGGCUCACACCUGUGCAAGAGUCUCACACGAGAUCCAUAAUUGCUUUAGUCAUUUGUUUUUCCUUUGUUGUCUGUCUCUCCUACUAAGCCCAGUGGAAGUCAGGAAUUAUGCAAUUGAAUACACCUUCCUCUGCAUCUGGUAGGGUAUGUGACAUUUAGUACCUGCUCAUUAAGAAUUGUUUGAAGCUGCUCUGAGAAGCCUUUCCGGCAUAAUGAGAAAUCACUGUGCAUGCUCCCAGACUCACCUCGAGACUGGCUCCCUCGAGACCAGGGGCCUGGUCAGGUCUUGGCUGAGCCCUCAAUACAUAAAAACAUGUAUAGGAUGAACGCAUGGGCAGGGGAAGGAUACACC
ensembl:lncRNA